AUAACAUUUCGUACCUUAAGUUUAGUAGUACUAUCACUAUCGCUUACUAAACGGGAUGACACAUGUGGUAUAUAAACAUAUAUAUAUAUAUACGUCCCCUCACUAUGUGUGGUAGUGCUAAAGGAGAAAAAUGGAGAAAGAAGAAAA
ensembl:ncRNA C30C11.12 ncRNA